GCCCCCAUCGUCUUUCGGUUCAGGACACCUCUCUUUCAAGGAGGCAGCGGGGAUUCGACUUCCCCUGGGGGUA
rnacentral:tRNA from 1 species